rnacentral:rRNA from 1 species
GUUGAACGCUGGCGGCAUGCCUUACACAUGCAAGUCGAACGGCAGCACGGGUGCUUGCACCUGGUGGCGAGUGGCGAACGGGUGAGUAAUACAUCGGAACAUGUCCUGUAGCGGGGGAUAGCCCGGCGAAAGCCGGAUUAAUACCGCAUACGAUCUACGGAUGAAAGCGGGGGACCUUCGGGCCUCGCGCUAUAGGGUUGGCCGAUGGCUGAUUAGCUAGUUGGUGGGGUAAAGGCCUACCAAGGCGACGAUCAGUAGCUGGUCUGAGAGGACGACCAGCCACACUGGGACUGAGACACGGCCCAGACUCCUACGGGAGGCAGCAGUGGGGAAUUUUGGACAAUGGGCGAAAGCCUGAUCCAGCAAUGCCGCGUGUGUGAAGAAGGCCUUCGGGUUGUAAAGCACUUUUGUCCGGAAAGAAAUCCUUGGCCCUAAUACGGUCGGGGGAUGACGGUACCGGAAGAAUAAGCACCGGCUAACUACGUG